GAUGAACGCUGGCGGCGUGCCUAAUACAUGCCAGUCGAGCGAACAGACGAGGAGCUUGCUCCUCUGACGUUAGCGGCGGACGGGUGAGUAACACGUGGAUAACCUACCUAUAAGACUGGGAUAACUUCGGGAAACCGGAGCUAAUACCGGAUAAUAUAUUGAACCGCAUGGUUCAAUAGUGAAAGACGGUUUUGCUGUCACUUAUAGAUGGAUCCGUGCCGCAUUAGCUAGUUGGUAAGGUAACGGCUUACCAAGGCAACGAUGCGUAGCCGACCUGAGAGGGUGAUCGGCCACACUGGAACUGAGACACGGUCCAGACUCCUACGGGAGGCAGCAGUAGGGAAUCUUCCGCAAUGGGCGAAAGCCUGACGGAGCAACGCCGCGUGAGUGAUGAAGGUCUUCGGAUCGUAAAACUCUGUUAUUAGGGAAGAACAAAUGUGUAAGUAACUAUGCACGUCUUGACGGUACCUAAUCAGAAAGCCACGGCUAACUACGUG
rnacentral:rRNA from 1 species